rnacentral:tRNA from 1 species
GAUAGUGUCUGAAAUCUGGUCUGCAAAACCAGAGAUUCUGGGUUCGAUCCCCAGCAGAGUCG